UGGGGAAUUUUGGACAAUGGGCGAAAGCCUGAUCCAGCAAUGCCGCGUGUGUGAAGAAGGCCUUCGGGUUGUAAAGCACUUUUGUCCGGAAAGAAAUCCUUGGCUCUAAUACAGUCGGGGGAUGACGGUACCGGAAGAAUAAGCACCGGCUAACUACGUGCCAGCAGCCGCGGUAAUACGUAGGGUGCAAGCGUUAAUCGGAAUUACUGGGCGUAAAGCGUGCGCAGGCGGUUUGCUAAGACCGAUGUGAAAUCCCCGGGCUCAACCUGGGAACUGCAUUGGUGACUGGCAGGCUAGAGUAUGGCAGAGGGGGGUAGAAUUCCACGUGUAGCAGUGAAAUGCGUAGAGAUGUGGAGGAAUACCGAUGGCGAAGGCAGCCCCCUGGGCCAAUACUGACGCUCAUGCACGAAAGCGUGGGGAGCAAACAGGAUUAGAUACCCUGGUAGUCCACGCCCUAAAACGAUGUCAACUAGUUGUUGGGGAUUCAUUUCCUUAGUAACGUAGCUAACGCGUGAAGUUGACCGCCUGGGGGAGUACGGUCGCAAGAUUAAAACUUAAAGGAAUUGACGGGGUCAUAGCUG
rnacentral:rRNA from 1 species